GAUUGUAGUCUGCAACCCGACUACAUGAAGCUGGAAUCGCUAGUAAUCGCAGGUCAGCAUACUGCGGUGAAUACGUUCCCGGGUCUUGUACACACCGCCCGUCACACCAUGGGAGCCGGAAAUGCCCGAAGCCAGUGACCCAACCUUAGGGAGGGGAGCUGUCGAAGGUGGAGCCGGUAACUGGGGUGAAGUCGUAACAAGGUAUC
rnacentral:rRNA from 1 species